rnacentral:tRNA from 2 species
GGCGGAGUAGCUCAGUUGGUCAGAGCGCACGACUCAUAUUCGUGAUGUCGGGGGUUCAAAUCCCUCCUCCGCUACCA